CUAUUAUUUAUGCAGCUGUUUCUAGGGCAGAUUGUUUUAAAUCAGGCUUCCUGGUGUUCUGGUUCCUAACACUCUUUCCACCCUCUCUUCCAUGAUUUUUCCUGAACCACAGAUUCAGACGCUGUGAUGUAGAUGCACCUGUUGAGGCUGGGCUCCCAACAAUCUCUUGACCUCUGCCUUGUAUCCAGUUUUGGUGGUGAUGGUCUCCCUUUGCUUUUACAGGCCACUUAAAUACCGGUACACCAUGCACCUGAGAUCUCAGCAUCUGGGAGGCUGAAGCGGGAAGAAGAUUGUUCUAAGUCUGAGGCCCAACUUCAAGAUGAUGGAAUCAGAUCCUGUCCAGGAAAGGAUGAUGUCAGAAGAUGGAAAAAUCUCAGACGCGUCCUUACCAGAGAGACAGCUGAAAGAAAUUAUAUUCUACACGCGCAGGUGAAAUCUCUGGUAAAUAAUCACUGAAAGUGGUCAGGGCUGGUUGGCGGCAGCGAGAACUUACAAAUGAGAGUUAGCUGUUCCCACCAUUUCCAGCUUCCUCCCUGCUCAAAGGGUGUGCAUCGGCUUUGCCUUUGGUAG
ensembl:lncRNA